CACUGCAAUAUAAGAAAGAUGUUAAACUGUUAGCGCCAAAAGGAUGGCUGCGGAAGCGGUGAAGGGCCUUGAGGGGAAGCGGUAUGAGCGGCGGCUGAGGGCACUUGGUCUGUUCAGAUGGAGUGAGGGGAGACUCACCGCGGUUAAAACUUCCUCCUGAGGGAGGAGGAAGGGAGCAGAAGCCGACUCCCACCUGAGAGCACAGAAUUGUUACGAGUGGAAAAGACCUUUAAGAUAACCGUGUCUAACUCUCAUCCCAGCAGCCACCACCGUGUUCACCAUUAGAUGGCAGCUCAAGAUGGGAAUAAAGCAGCACAUUGCUCACAGAGGUGUCCCAGAGGCCAGAACGAAGAUAUUAGUUCAAAUUCAUAUUUAUAAACCUCAACUGGUAUUAACUGCACCAUUAUAAAAUAAUCACAUACUGGCUCAUUAAAAUAAAAUAUUUUUCUUUCCCA